rnacentral:rRNA from 1 species
AUUGAACGCUGGCGGCAGGCUUAACACAUGCAAGUCGAGCGGGGUGAUGGUGCUUGCACUAUCACUUAGCGGCGGACGGGUGAGUAAUGCUUAGGAAUCUGCCUAUUAGUGGGGGACAACAUCUCGACAGGGAUGCUAAUACCGCAUACGUCCUACGGGAGAAAGCAGGGGAUCACUUGUGACCUUGCGCUAAUAGAUGAGCCUAAGUCGGAUUAGCUAGUUGGUGGGGUAAAGGCCGACCAAGGCGACGAUCUGUAGCGGGUCUGAGAGGAUGAUCCGCCACACUGGGACUGAGACACGGGCCAGACUCCGACGGGAGGCAGCAGUGGGGAAUAUUGGACAAUGGGGGGAACCCUGAUCCAGCCAUGCCGCGUGUGUGAAGAAGGCCUUAUGGUUGUAAAGCACUUUAAGCGAGGAGGAGGCUCUUUUGGUUAAUACCCAAGAUGAGUGGACGUUACUCGCAGAAUAAGCACCGGCUAACUCUGUGCCAGCAGCCGCCGUAA